GAUGAACGCUGGCGGCGUGCUUAACACGUGCAAGUCGAACGAAACACCUUAUUUGAUUUUCUUCGGAACUGAAGAUUUGGUGAUUGAGUGGCGGACGGGUGAGUAACGCGUGGGUAACCUGCCCUGUACAGGGGGAUAACAGUCAGAAAUGACUGCUAAUACCGCAUAAGACCACAGCACCGCAUGGUGCAGGGGUAAAAACUCCGGUGGUACAGGAUGGACCCGCGUCUGAUUAGCUGGUUGGUGAGGUAACGGCUCACCAAGGCGACGAUCAGUAGCCGGCUUGAGAGAGUGAACGGCCACAUUGGGACUGAGACACGGCCCAAACUCCUACGGGAGGCAGCAGUGGGGAAUAUUGCACAAUGGGGGAAAACCUGAUGCAGCGACGCCGCGUGAGUGAAGAAGUAUUUCGGUAUGUAAAGCUCUAUCAGCAGGGAAGAAAAUGACGGUACCUGACUAAGAAGCCCCGGCUAACUACGUG
rnacentral:rRNA from 1 species